CAGACAGGCAAGGACGGGAGGCUGCAGAGAAAAUCCGCUCACCUAAGAUUGCGGCAGCCACAUGCAAAGCGGGUCCCAUAUACCGCAGAGAGAAGCUGAUGACAUACCUGGAUCGGCUCUAUACAGCACUGAACGGCAGGAGCUGGAGAGCUCAGAAGCAACACCACUACAACAGCAGACCCCAUGGGGGCGAAAGCAGGAGGGAGAACCCCCUUCUCACUCACGGAAGGGAGAACAUCCCAAGUGUUGGGGCAAGCGCCGCUCACGAAACCGGGUCCAAAAAGCCAACACACAGAACCAGCUGUCAC